GCCGUACUAAACACGUUCCUUGCCUCCAUGGGCCACGGCUGACCCUGACAGGAGGCUGAAUAAUCCGUAAGGAGCAACUCAUG
rfam:Xenorhabdus beddingii strain DSM 4764 Xbed_6, whole genome shotgun sequence.